rnacentral:lncRNA from 1 species
UAAUUCCAAUUUUCACUAAAAAUUAACGGACUAAAAACAUAUUUAAGCAAUUCUUAAAUAACUAUAUUAACAUAUUUAAGAAAAUAAAACAUUUUUAAACCCUCUACAAAUUUGUAGACGUUGAAGACUAUCACUUUAAUUAUAAGACUUAUUGAGUUCAUUUAUCACUUUCUCUUAUUCUAUCUUUUGCACUCAUGGAACAAGUAUCUUAAAAAGUUC